rnacentral:lncRNA from 1 species
UCUGUCAGUUGGAAAUUUUAUCAAAAUGUAACUGUGAAAACAGUCACUAGUGUGAAUCAAUGCUCUCUACAAAGAACUUACACCCAGAAAUGGAACUCUUGAAGUCCUUUGGGUCAAUCUCUGGAGUUACAGUGUGACAGAAUGCAUGAGGAUCAGAUGUGGGGAAACAAAGAAGAAUUAUAUACAAUUCCUGAUCUUAAGACAUUUAGUGGCAUUGGAAGACGGACAAUUACAAGUUUAAAUGACUGACGUCGUAAAGUUACAUACACAGUGCACAGGCAAGAUAGCAGAAAAGAUGUCUUAGUUGAGGUUCUACUGAAGCAGACCCUGAGAUUCAAAUGCAAGUAGUGCUUUUGAAUUCUACUACUAAGACCCACAGAAUGAGAUUCAUUUUCUCUGAGAACUGGACAUUUGUCUAAUCAGGAGCCUUAGAAGUCUUACACUGCCAUGUGGAUUUAAGGAUAAAGGAGACCAAUUCAAACACAGAAGAGACCGUAUACCAAUGGAGAAGGAGAAACAAAGGAUGGAGAGAAAGUUUCGGUGACCUUUGUACCCCUGGUUCCAGAUCCUUCUGGUAGCAUUCAUACUCUUAAG